rnacentral:rRNA from 1 species
UACGGAGGGUGCAAGCGUUGCUCGGAAUUAUUGGGCGUAAAGCGCACGCAGGCGGUAAGGUAAGUCAGUUGUGAAACUCCCGGGCUUAACCUGGGAACUGCAGUUGAUACUGCCUUGCUAGAGUACGGAAGAGGGAAGUGGAAUUCCCAGUGUAGAGGUGAAAUUCGUAGAUAUUGGGAGGAACACCGGUGGCGAAGGCGGCUUCCUGGUCCGAUACUGACGCUCAUGUGCGAAAGCGUGGGGAGCAAACAGG